UACGGAGGGAGCUAGCGUUGUUCGGAAUUACUGGGCGUAAAGCGCACGUAGGCGGCUUUUUAAGUCAGGGGUGAAAUCCCGGGGCUCAACCCCCGGAAUGCCCCUUGAAACUGGAAAGCUAGAAUCUUGGAGAGGCGAGUGGAAUUCCGAGUGUAGAGGUGAAAUUCGUAGAUAUUCGGAAGAACACCAGUGGCGAAGGCGACUCGCUGGACAAGUAUUGACGCUGAGGUGCGAAAAGCGUGGGGAGCAAACAGGG
rnacentral:rRNA from 1 species